AACUCAAUUCAAAACAUGCAGCAAGCAUAGACCAAAACCCAUGAUAAAAUUCUCAUUACGUCUUGCAUCCGACAAUAAUAGUAGCAGCAUCAUCGGCAAAACCAAAUGCAACACCACCGUGCGCCGUCCACUCCAACGCUAACACUCAUCAUCACAUAACACCAAAUCCAAAAAUCAUUAAAUACAAAGAAACAGGCCGCUUGUCCAAGAAAGCCAAACUGAUUACAUGUAGCAAAUUUCAAAUAGAUGAAGCAUAGCCAGAGCAGCGAUGAAAAUGCUUAUCGAUGUCUCAAUCUUCUAUAUUCUGAGAGAAGCCAGCCAAAGAACCCAUGGCCACUAAAUCCUCGAAGUGCCAGACCACCUAAUGAAAUAACAUUUUCGUUGAGCACCAAGCAAGGAAACUCAUACCAGAACAGAUCAAAAGAACCCUCUACAAGUAUGCUCAAAUCAAGGAACAAAAAGAACUUAAAAAAAACAAAUAAACAAAUAAAUAGACAAAAACAAAGUUAGAUCAGUACUUGCAAAACCAAAACUAGCAAACUCUUCACUUAUUCAGAGAAUAGGGAAAGGCAAACAACCACCAAAAAAUCAAAAAUAAAAAAAGUUGCCAAAAACUUGGUCACAA
rnacentral:lncRNA from 1 species